rnacentral:rRNA from 1 species
GACGAACGCUGGCGGCGUGCUUAAUACAUGCAAGUCGAACGCUGAAGCUCAGCUUUUGUUGGGUGGAUGAGUGGCGAACGGGUGAGUAACACGUGAGUAACCUGCCUCCUUCUUUGGGAUAACGCCCGGAAACGGGUGCUAAUACUGGAUAUUCACUGGUCUUCGCAUGGGGGUUGGUGGAAAGGGUUUUUCUGGUGGGGGAUGGGCUCGCGGCCUAUCAGCUUGUUGGUGGGGUGAUGGCCUACCAAGGCUUUGACGGGUAGCCGGCCUGAGAGGGUGACCGGUCACAUUGGGACUGAGAUACGGCCCAGACUCCUACGGGAGGCAGCAGUGGGGAAUAUUGCACAAUGGGCGCAAGCCUGAUGCAGCGACGCCGCGUGAGGGAUGGAGGCCUUCGGGUUGUGAACCUCUUUCGCUCAUGGUCAAGCCGCAACAAUGGUUGUGGUGAGGGUAGUGGGUAAAGAAGCGCCGGCUAACUACGUG